rnacentral:piRNA from 1 species
UCUGAUUCUGCACAAAUACUGAAGC